AGUGAACGCUGGCGGUAGGCCUAACACAUGCAAGUCGAACGGCAGCACAGUAAGAGCUUGCUCUUACGGGUGGCGAGUGGCGGACGGGUGAGGAAUACAUCGGAAUCUACUUUUUCGUGGGGGAUAACGUAGGGAAACUUACGCUAAUACCUCAUACGACCUACGGGUGAAAGCAGGGGAUCUUCGUACCUUGCGCGAUUGAAUGAGCCGAUGUCGGAUUAGCUAGUUGGCGGGGUAAAGGCCCACCAAGGCAACGAUCCGUAGCUGGUCUGAGAGGAUGAUCAGCCACACUGGAACUGAGACACGGUCCAGACUCCUACGGGAGGCAGCAGUGGGGAAUAUUGGACAAUGGGCGCAAGCCUGAUCCAGCCAUACCGCGUGGGUGAAGAAGGCCUUCGGGUUGUAAAGCCCUUUUGUUGGGAAAGAAAAGCAGCAGGUUAAUACCCCGCUGUUCUGACGGUACCCAAAGAAUAAGCACCGGCUAACUUCGUG
rnacentral:rRNA from 1 species